rnacentral:rRNA from 1 species
GAUGAACGCUGGCGGCGUGCCUAACACAUGCAAGUCGAACGGAGUUACUUUGACAGAUCCCUUCGGGGUGACGUUGAUUUAACUUAGUGGCGGACGGGUGAGUAACGCGUGAGCAACCUGCCUCGGAGAGGGGGACAACAGCUGGAAACGGCUGCUAAUACCGCAUAAUGUAUCAUUUUCGCAUGAUUAUGAUACCAAAGGAGAAAUCCACUCUGAGAUGGGCUCGCGUCUGAUUAGCUAGUUGUGGGGUAACGGCCUACCAAGCCGACGAUCGGUAGCCGGACUGAGAGGUUGAACGGGCCACAUUGGGACUGAGACACGGCCCAGACUCCUACGGGAGGCAGCAGUGGGGAAUAUUGCACAAUGGGGGAAACCCUGAUGCAGCAACGCCGCGUGAGGGAAGACGGUUUUCGGAUUGUAAACCUCUGUCCUCUGUGAAGAAGAAAGUGACGGUAGCAGAGGAGGAAGCCAGGCUAACUACGUGCCAGCAGCCG